rnacentral:rRNA from 1 species
GACGAACGCUGGCGGCGUGCUUAACACAUGCAAGUCGAGCGAUGAAAGCCUUAUGAACUAUUCGUAGUGAUUGGGGCCGGAUUAGCGGCGGACGGGUGAGUAAGGCGUGAGCAACCUGCCUUAAACAACGGGAUAGCCUCGGGAAACCGGGAUUAAUACCGUAUGAGACCCCGCCUUCACAUGAAGAAGAGGUUAAAGAUUUAUCGGUUUAAGAUGGGCUCGCGUCUGAUUAGCUAGUUGGUGAGAUAAAAGCCCACCAAGGCAACGAUCAGUAGCCGGCUUGAGAGAGUGAACGGUCACAUUGGAACUGAGACACGGUCCAAACUCCUACGGGAGGCAGCAGUGGGGAAUAUUGCACAAUGGGGAAAACCCUGAUGCAGCGACGCCGCGUGAGCGAUGAAGGAAUUCGUUUCGUAAAGCUCUGUCCAAGGGGAAGAUAAUGACAGUACCCUUGGAGGAAGCCCCGGCUAAAUACGUGCCAGCCGCCGCAGUAA